rnacentral:rRNA from 1 species
CCCUUAGAUGUUCUGGGCCGCACGCGCGCUACACUGGUACGUUCAACAAGUUUACAACCUUGACCGAAAGGUCUGGGUAAUCUUUUGAAUGCGUACCGUGCUAGGGAUAGAUUAUUGCAAUUAUUAAUCUUGAACGAGGAAUUCCUAGUAAACGCAAGUCAUCAGCUUGCAUUGAUUACGUCCCUGCCCUUUGUACACACCGCCCGUCGCUCCAUCCGUGGCAUGCGCCGGUGAAGAGGGGGAGGCAGCGUCGGCCGUGUAACAGCGGAUCGUACGUGGAACCCCUCUGAACCUUCGCACGUAGAGGAAGGAGAAGUCGUAACA